rnacentral:misc_RNA from 1 species
AGAGAGAGAGAGAGAGAGAGAUCAACACAAGUUGUCAAAAAAAAAAAGCUUGAUGGCGAGAGCAUUGAAAAAGGCCUCUCAAGCAUCCAUCUUGGGCUCAAACGAAGCAAGUAAAGGAUAAAGUACUUUCCGUUCUUGAUUUUAAUUUAUUUCGUUUCUUAUCUGAAAUCAGAAAUUAAGGCAAUUCAAGACAUGCCAAAAUUACAAAGUAGAAAUCAGAAUCGAAAUUAUGCAAGAAAUAAGACAUUAAUAUUUUUCCUAGAAAUGGAAGAAGCAAAUUGCAAAUAGGAAUCAAAUCUAACCUUAAGCAAAAAUAAACAUGAAGAGAAAGAAGCCAUAUUACAUUUUUCAGAAAGUUAUCAAAAGAGAUUGUAACUCAUCUAAACAUCCAAUAUCGUAAAACUGUAAACCCAGGAAGAGAAAAAGAUCGCAAAUCACAUACAUAAGAAAAAUGAUGGAGUUGCUGAAAUUCAUUGAAAGAUAUAACUGCAGAACACAAGUCCAGCUGUUAAUUAAUCCAAGAACCUCACUUGAAUUCAACU